GUGCAUCAUGCAUCAUAUGCAUCAUACUAACCUUUUCCUUUUUAGCCAUAUAGACUCUCAUGUGGGUCGGAAGAGGCCAGAGAGUGGGAGGUUGGAAAAAGGGCCCAUCUCUCCAAGGAUCAAAAUUGUGUUAGAGCACUUAGAAGAAUCGAGACGCCAAGAAGAGAUGGCCAAUAAAAUAACUAAUAUACAAGACAUUGAGAUCCUCAAGAAUGUUGUAGUAGAACACUUGAGGGGUGUGAUUGGGGAGGAACUUCAACAACUCCUGGCUGGGAUGGCUACAAACCAAGCCC
rnacentral:lncRNA from 1 species